GGCAGGCCAACAUAUUGAAAUAAUAGCUACAAAACUCCUAACCUUCUUUGGGGGUCAUACACAGCAUACUAUACUUGGGAAUGGCAUUCUGACACAUUUAUUACAUAAUAAUGCUAUUAUAUGUAAUGCUAUUCUGACACAUUUGUUAGGUAACAUUAAUGGCUUUGAGUGGGACUUAGAACAAGAAAAGGCUCUGAAACAGAUCCAAGAUGUUGUUUGAGCCAUGCAACUAGAAGAUCUCAUAGAACUAAAGUUAUCUAAUUUACAGAAAAGGUUUUACGUGACGUCUAUUGUACAGAUUCAUAUGAAAACCAUAGUUCAAACUCCAAGGUUUAAGAAGUAAGAAAGAUCAUGCCAUUUGCAACAAACAUGCAUGCAUAUUUGAAAAGCAACUGUAAGUAUGCUAUUGGACAUUGGUAAAGAUUGAAUAUCUGACCAUGGCAUAUCAAGAAACCAUGGAAUGAGUACUGCUUAUCAAGAUCUGGGUGUGAGAAGACUUAAAAAGUCAGAUAGUCAGUGAGAACCAGCUAGAAUCCAUGAUCUGUUGUGGGAAAACUAGAAGACCAAAAAAAGCACGAAAGUCAAGAAAGAAGUCUCUUUUCACAUGAAAGUGGCCUGAAGACAAAUACUGCUAUGAAUGGUUACAUCUAGGACUUCUGAAAUUAGCCCCAGAUUCAACUCAUUUUUUUCUGCAUUUGCUGAGCAAUAUGACAUGUUUACACCGAUUAGCUAAAAAGUUAUGUGAAGAAUGGGCAACAAUAUCUCUAA
rnacentral:lncRNA from 1 species